CUUGAUAAUUGCAGUUCAUUGUUAUACUGCCGUCCAAAGUAUUUCAAAGAAAGCAUCACUUGUUCUUCUGGAAAGUUCCCUUGAUAUCAAUAUUUUUGGUGGAUAAUGCAGAAUUCAGAGAAAUGGUGAUUUGUGGGUAUAUUGGUUCCCCACCAUCACCACCUUGGGCUUGAAUAAUAAUAAUAAUAAUAAUAAUAAUAAUAAUAAUAAUAAUAAUAAUUGCAAAUGCAAUUAAGGCCAAGAUCGAAAAAUUAGCUGAUGACCCAAAAUGCAGACUGUGCAAGGAAACUGACGAAACCAUUGAUCAUAUCCUCAGCUGCUGUAAGAAAAUCGCACAGACAGACUACAAACAGAGGCACAACUAUGUGGCCCAAAUGAUUCAUUGGAACUUAUGCCUCAAGUACCACCUCCCAGCAGCAAAGAACUGGUGGGAUCACAAACCUGCAAAAGUAUUGGAGAAUGAACACGCAAAGAUACUGUGGGACUUCCGAAUCCAGACUGACAAAGUUCUGGAACACAACACACCAGACAUCACAGAUGUGGAAAAGAACAAGGUUUGGAUCGUUGAUGUCGCCAUCCCAGGUGACAGUCGCAUUGACGAAAAACAACAGGAAAAACUCAGCCGCUAUCAGGACCUCAAGAUUGAACUUCAAAGACUCAGGCAGAAACCAGUGCAGUUGGCAGAUCGUAAUUUUGUCAAUGUCUAUUGUUUCCAAAUGCCGGCUGAGAUCUUUUGGCACAGCACCCAAUGUGCCCAUCACCACCGGGACCACCUGCACUAGUUUCUGCCAGAGUCUUUGAAGUUCAAUCUUGAGGUCCUGAUAGCGGCUGAGUUUUUCUUGUUGUUUUUCGUCAAUGCGACUGUCACCUGGGAUGGCAACAUCAAUGAUCCAAACCUUUUUCUUUUCCACAACUGUGAUGUCUGGUGUGUUGUGUUCCAGAACUUUGUCAGUCUGGAUUCGGAAGUCCCACAGUAUCUUUGCGUGCUCAUUUUCCAAUACUUUUGCAGGUUUGUGAUCCCACCAGUUCUUUGCUGCUGGGAGGUGGUACUUGAGGCAUAAGUUCCAAUGAAUCAUUUGGGCCACAUGGUUGUGCCUCUGUUUGUAGACUGUGCGAUUUUCUUACAGCAGCUGAGGAUGUGAUCAAUGGUUUUGUCGGUUUCCUUGCAUAGUCUGCAUUUUCCUUGCAUCAGCUGAUUUUUCGAUCUUGGCCUUAAUUGCAUUUGUUCUGAUGUCUUGCUCCUGGGCUGCAAGGAUCAGGCCUUCUGUCUCCUUUUUCAGGGUCCCACUCGUGAGCCAGAGCCAGGUCUUCUCCUUAUCAGCUUUUCCUUCAAUUUUGUCAAGGAACUUUCUAUGCAGUGUUUUGUUGUGCCAGCUGUCAGCUCUAGUUUGUAGUGCGGUUUUCUUGUACUGAUUUUUUGUCUGCUGUGUUUUGAGGAGUUUCUGAUUUUUGACUUCAAUCAAAGCAGGUUCUUCACUUUGCUUUACAUAUUCUGCCAGGGCAUGUUCUUCUUCUUCUUCUUCUUCUUCUUCUUCUUCUUCUUCUUCUUCUUCUUAUUAUUAUUAUUAUUAUUAUUAUUAUUAUUAUUAUUUUAACCCCAUUCAUGUUCACAACUUAAGGAUUAUCAUUAUUUUUAUUCAAAACCCCAUAUGCUAUCUUACAUUGCUAAGUACAGCCUAUAGACAGCUGUUAUACAGAAAAAGGGAAAAGCUCCAUACUUCUUUUGUCAGAAGGUCAGCCUCAUUUGGGUUGACAUUGAAAUUCUCACUGGUGCCAGAGCAUACAAAAAAUGUUUUUUAUAUCCUAACCCUGACUCUAGCCCUCAGGACAUUGGAAUACUUGUUAGAGUCAGAAAACACUUCCAAAUAUAUUCAAUGCAUUUUCCUGGCUUGUGGAUGUUGAAGGCCUUCUCUGCAUAUGAACAUAGCAGUUCCUGAAAAUAUUAAAAAGUGAUUUCUAUGGCUGAGUGAAUUUUCCCCCAAAGGAAAAAAAAAGUCUGAAAAUGUUAAAUGUGUCAUUUCCCUGCAUGAAAACUUGCAAAAUAUUGAAAAGUAUUUGUCUUUGCAUAAAAUGUAAGUAACCGUAAUUGUGUGAAAUGUAACCAAAUAUAAUUAACAUCAGUCUUGGGAGAAAGAAAAAAACUUCUUUAAAAUAUACAGCUUUAAUUAUAUAUAAAGCAGACACACUGAUGGGGAGAUAAUUAGGUGUGUAUGCAAAUCCUUGCAUAUUUGCUGCAUAUACAUAGCUGAAGGGCAGAUCCCAUGUAUAUAGCACCAAAUUAAACGUGACAUCAUGGCAGGGGCAUUGCAUAAUGAAGAAAGAACAUCCCUGCAUUAACCCAAAUCAACUUAAUGCUCUGCAGAAACAGCAUGGGGACAGGAAAGGGCUGAAGUCGUGUCAUUUUGAACUAAUCGCCCAGCACACUAUAUGUAGUCGGUGCCUCUGACAGCUAUAGCACCAAAUUAUCCACAACAGGCACAAUUGAGGUUAUUGAGAGAAUCCAAAGAGAGCUGUUCCUACACAAGCAGACCCCCCAUUUGAAUUCUGGCUUGCAUUGGGUACAGCAGGGUAGAAAUCAUGUCUUCUUAAACGGCAACUCUGCACAUUCCUCACCAUGACUUGUGGGAGUCUGCUUCAUUCUCACUGGGCCAAUAGCAUUAUGUCAGCUUUUAAUGACCAACCAUAAAUGAACAGGCCAGACACAGAGAUUUGUUUUUAAACAAAGGCCAUUUAGAUCAAUACAGAAGCUUGUUUAAUUUAGUUAUAUUGGAGUGCAAAGAGCAAGAAGGGAGGAACCUGAUGUAUGUCUGGUUAAGUGCCCAGUGUCUAUCUAUGAUGGCCUCAGCCUCUCUUGGGUGAAAUACCUGACCCAGACGGGCAAUCCAAUGCUAUGGAUUUCUCACCUCAGCUGUUUUUCUCUUGAAAGCAAACCCAGGUUCUCCCUCCCAAGCUACAAUCUAUAUAUAUAAAAGAGUGAUGGAAUCGUGGCGACCGCCAAAACAACAAAACUAAACACCCCACAACCUCGAAAAUUGAUAACACAACUCAUCAUCCAUGCCUCUAGGUUGAUACAACAAAAAAAUAAAGUCCUAAUUACAGGGAGAGGAAUAAUUGUUUUUAUCAGUGGUUCCCUUGAUGUAUGGUAAGAACACCUUUCCUCUGGGUGGAUGUUCUUACCAUACAUCAAGGGAACCACUGACCGCAUAGGCAAACUGAUGAAGACGCACAACCUACAAACUAUCUAUAGACCCACAAAGAAAAUCCAACAAAUGCUACGGUCAGAGAGGACAAGAGGGAUCCUCUCUCCUCUGCAGGAGUCUACCGGAUACAAUGCAGCUGUGGACAAGUCUACAUAGGGACCACCAAAUGCAACAUUGCCCAAACAAGAGUCAAAGAACAUGAAAGGCACUGCAAAUUCAACCAGAGAAAUCAGCCAUAGCAGAGCAUUUGAUGAACCAGCCUGGACACAGUAUAUUAUUUGAGAACACAGAAAUGCUGGACCAUUCCAACAACUAUCAUGUCAGACUACACAGAGAAGCAUUGAAAUCCACAAGCAUGUGGGCAACUUCAACAGAAAGGAAGAAACCAUGAAAAUGAACCAAAUCUGGCUACCAGUAUUUAAAAAACUCUAAAAUCAAAACAGUAGAUGGGAACCAACACUCUGAGGGCAGAGGAUAGCUAAUGACUGAACAAAGGAUGCCCCCAGGCAAGAGACAAAACCUUUCCAAUGCUAAUUAGGGUGAUUAACUGAAACAUUAAUGCUGGCUUCCCAGUGACAAAGGACUCUUGCCACACCCUGGACUCUACACAGAUAUAUAUUCUUUCCUUUCCUUGCUGAGUUUCUCCAUACCUCACAACCUCUGAGGAUGCCUGCCAUAAAUGUGGGUGAAACGUCAGGAGAGAAUACUUCUGGAACAUGGCCACACAGCCCGAAAGACAUACAACAACCCUGUGAUCCCGGCCAUGAAAGCCUUCGACAACACAGUGUUCUACUGUUGUAGCAAGUUUUGCCCCACUAACUCUAAAUGAGGGAGAAAGGAGCCCCAGAAGCUCCCCCAAAUGUGCAACUACUUAACGAAAUAGUAAUGAAAAUUUUGUUACUCCUUUAUGGUAAUGAAAUGGUUCCUUUACAAUAUUUUAGAAACAGUUUAGAAACGAUUUACUGGAACCUCCUAAUUUAGUAAUGAGUAUUGGAACAUUUUUCAUUGAUUUCACAGGCCUAGUAACUAUCAAUGCUGAAAUGGCAAAAGUUGCAGUGAUAGCUGAGAGAAAGCUCACAUUGUUCAGUAAAACUUCUGAAGGAUAGAUUCCAUUAUAGCUUGUCAUUCUCUGGUUACGACACAUCUAUCUUUCUUGGCAAAUACGCACAGCUGAAACUAAGUUUUUGAUAACAGAACUGGGCAAAUAGUGAAACACUCAAUUAGAUCAAAGGAUAUUUGGGUCUGCACAUUUCAUUUUGUGAGGAUCACCUUUGGAACAUGUACUGUAUAAUACGAGAAUAUACACCUCUAUUUGUAUGUAAAUCGAAAUGUAUACCUUAGGAAUGACCAGAGAUUGUUCUAAAGGCACUAAGAGCAAGGGCACUUUCUCCCACAUCCUGAAUUGAAAUUUCACCUGAAUCAUUUAAUGGCUCCUUCUUGCUGUAAGUUAGGGAAGGAGGACAAAUGCAGAACAAAGCAAUCACCACUGAACAAAGUAACAGUUGUCCAAGAUGGCAUAAGUUUCCACCAGCAAGAGAUACAUAUCAAAAUGUUAGUUGGCUGGCAUUUGCUUUCAAAGUGUGUGCCGUCGCGCCUGGGGCUAUAACUCUUAGUGAAAGAGGCAUGGACGUGACAUCUUUCCCCAGGGGAUUGCUUCUUGCCCUCUUUUAGGGAAACUGGAACUCCCAAGGAUCAAAACACUGUAGAUAACUCAAAAACUGGUUUUAUUGUUCACAAAAGGUUAUCUGGAAGUUUCAAAGGGGUAAAGGAAAAUAUACAUUACAGCCCUUUGGUUGUUUUAAGUCCGUGGAGCUUUGUAGCUGAGAAGCUUUUCCAGGUCCCUCUUUCUCAAUGGCUGUGGAUGCCGGAGCAAACUCAGCCUCAGUCCAAUGACCUAUGUUUGAAGACACAGUCUUCCUCUGUUGCCAAAGGACUGAUUUGAAGGUGCUUGAGACUCCUCAACGUAGUUCAGGUUGGCCCUGAACAUGAUGCGUAGGUCUCAAGGGUAAGAACCUCAGAAUUGGUGCUGAGAGGUAACUUAACCAAGGGCUUUUAGAGCCAAGUCUCUCUCACGUCCAUCUGGUAGAGAACUUGCUGGUGGAAUGAAAGGAGGAAACACUGUCCUACUCCAGGAAGAGGUGGAGUCAAACAAUUGAGCUGAGUGAGCAAUAUAACUGGUGCAAACAACAUUGAUUGACAGAUAUAAAUAACCAAUCAGUCCAACUACAUUUACAGGGUAAAAGCAAAAUCAGGCAUGAUACAAUUCAAAUCUUGCAAGUUACAGUUCCACAUAUAGAUGGCGCCACUCGCACCUCC
ensembl:lncRNA